rnacentral:lncRNA from 1 species
AUGCUCUCGGACAUUACUGUCAUAAAACAGGAUCUAUGUGAUUCUCCUACUGACAGACAGCGACUGCUGCGGGGCCUAGGGUCUACCUUCCGGAGGCGCAGCAAGGCCCACCUGGAGCGGUAUGUCGCCUCCGUGCAGGAUUCCGCCCGGUCGCCACGAGAGAAGUCAAAGAAAGGAUUCUAUUUUGCGAAGCUGUACUAUGAAGCUAAAGAAUAUGAUCUUGCUAAAAAAUACAUAUCUGCCCAUAUUAAUGUGCAAGAGAGGGAUCCCAAAUCUCACAGAUUUUUGGGUCUUCUCUAUGAAGCUGAAGAAAACACAGACAAAGCUGUUGAAUGUGAUAAGCGUUCAGUGUGGCCAACACAGAAAGAUCUUGUGUUGAAGAUUGCAGAAUUACUUUGUAAAAAUGAUGUUACUGAUGGAAGAGCAAAAUAUUGGGUUGAAAGAGCAGCUAAACUUUUCCCAGAAUGUCCUGCAAUUUAUAAGUUAAAGGAACAGCUGUUAGAUUGUAAAGGUGAAGAUGGAUGGAAUAAACUUUUUGACUUGAUUCAGUUAGAACUUUAUACAAGACCUGAUGAGGUCCAUGUGAAUAUACGACUAGUGGAGCUGUACCGAUCAAAUAAGAUUGAAGGACGCUAUGGCCUUACUGUCAUGAGGCAGAGAGGAACAUAGCUUUGCAUUCAAGUUUAGACUGGAAUUUGUGUCUUGUGCAGACCCUUACGGAAUAUCUGGAGUCUUUACAGUGUUUGGAAUCUGAUAAAAAUGACUGGCAAGCGACCAAUAAAGACUUAUUUCUGGCUUAUGCUAACCUUAUGCUACUUAGACUUUCCACCAGAGAUUUUCAAGAAAGUAGAGAAUUACUGGAAAGUUUUGAUAGUGCUCUUCAGUUCUAUGAAAUCCUCUGUAGGUGGAAAUGAUGAACUGUCAGUUACUUUCUUAGAAAUGAAAGGACAUUUCUACGUGCAUGCUGCUUCUCUGCUUUUGAAGAUGGGUCAGCAUAGUGAUGUACAAUGGCGAGCUCUCUCUGAGCUGGCUGCAUUGUGCUAUCUCAUAGCAUUUCAGGUCCUGAGACCAAAGAUUAAAUUAAUAAAAGGAGAAACUGGACAGAAUUUACUGGAAAUAAUGGCCCAUGAUCGUCUCAGCCAAUCAGGGCACAUGUUGCUGAACUUAAGUCGUGGCAAGCAAGAUAUUUUAAAGGAGGUUGUGUAAUCUUUUGCCAAUAAAAGUGGACAGUCUGCCCUGUAUGAUGCUCUGUUUUCUAGUCAAUCACCUAAGGAGAGAUCUUUCCUUGGUAGAGAUGAUAUUGGAAACAUUGAUGUACAAGCUCCAGAGCCUGGUGAUUUGGCUAGAUAUGAUGUUGAUGCUAUUCGAGCACACAAUGGUAGUCUUCAGAUGUUGAGAGCCACGGCCAGGUCAAGAUGGUACCUGGCAUUUUGCCAGAAGGGGCAGCUCCUGCUGCCUCGGGUACCCGCUACUUUUGAGUUCUCACUGAGUUUGCGUGGAUUCUAGAAAAAAGUUUGUUCCUGCUUGAAUCUACAAGUGGCUCGUGACCUCCUUGUUAUUUGUGCCCAGCCAGACUGCGGCACAUUUCUAAUACACUAUCUUUCAACAUCUAUAUUCAUCUCUUGCUAUCUUCAAGAGGUUGAUUCCAGGAUCCCACUUGGACACCAAAACCCAUGGAUGCUUAAAUCCCUUAUUUAAAACUUCAUAGUAUUUGAGUAUAUCUGCACACAUUAUCCUACAUUCUUUAAAUUAUCUCUAAAUUACUUAAAAUAUCUCUAAAUGACUUAAUAUAAUGUAAAUGCCAUGCAAGUAGUUGUUAUGCUAUAUUGUUUAGGGAAUUAUAGCAAAAAAUAAAACAGUCUGUACAUGUUCAGUACAGACAAAUUUUUUCUUUUAACUUUUUUUCUAUCCAAGGUUUGUUAAAUCCUCAGGAUGUAGGACCCACAGGAUAUGAAAGGCCAAUGAACUGACCAUUCCUGGUACCCUUGACCUCCAAAUCAGCAGUCUCCCACAGGUGAAUCUGAGGCAUUCCAACACAUGAAGGUGGAGGUAUCACCAGACUUACUUCUGCACAGAAUGAGCCACACCCUAAAUGCUUAUCUGGCAUGGAGGCAGGGUGACCAGAAUGCAGGAAGGGCAGGGCCCAGGGAAAGGCUGGGAAUAUUGAACACCCAUACCCACAAUAACUCUGAGCACUGGACCAUGUGCUUCAUUCCUGGACUUCUGCCCCAGGACUACACACACCAAGUGGACGAGGCUCUGCCAAGUGACUCCAAGAGGAAAAACAUCCCAGGCUACCUCCAAAGCUGCUCACUCCUUUCUAGUUCCUCCUGGGCCUCUUAACCCAGAAGUGUGAAGGAAGCUGGACCCACACCUCCCCUCAGUUCCCCGGGGCUGAAGAGAAAGGGAAGGAAGACACAGAGGUCGGUCUCCAAGUAACCAGAAAAUGGUGCUGUGUUCUCAGCCCACCUCUGAACAGUAGGGGAAUGGGGAUGGAUCAGGAGGGGUCAAAGGAACUACCCCAGCACCUGGAAGCUUCAUUUGCCAACUUCUCUGAAUAUUUGCUUAUUUUUUAAAAAAAUAAAAUGUUGGAAGGAAGGAAGGUAUAAGGGAUCAAAGUUGUCCCUGAAAAAUUAAAACAUACUUGUUCUGUCCUACCCUUUGAGGCGGAUAAACCAUCCCUCAGCCAUAACCGUGGGGGGGGGGGCCUGGCUCCACUUGGGGACACCCAUUUUCCUUGCCAGUCAAAAGAAAUCCCAACGUGAUAAUAUUUGCCACGCCAAACACCAGUCCAACAAACUUAUUUUACACAUAAUUUCAAAACAUAUUUUGUGUAUGAAACAUGGCCACUGAAAUCCUGGAAUUCCUGCGUUUCCAGAUGGUGGCAGGUGGUUUUUCAAGGAGGGGUGGGAGAGCAUUCCUUCCAGUGAGCUCUUGCAUGGAUGUCCACUCUAACAAAACAGAAGAUUGUGUGAGUCAGUUUUCUGUUGUGACAAGAUACCUGAGAUGAUAAAAUUUUAGGGAGGAAAGAUUUAUUUUGGCUCAUGGUUUUACUUGGGGCCUGUGUUGGCACAGUACCUUAUGGCAGGAACACAGGAUGGAAGAGUUCUGAUCACUUCAUGGUAUCCAGGAAGCAAAAGAGAAAGAGGAAGGGGAGGGAGGGGUCCCAUCAUCCCCUUCCUGAGCAUGCCCCCAAUGUCCUAACUUCCUCCCACUAGGCCACACCUCCCAAUAGGGCUGUGGGCUGAGGACCGAGCCUUUAACACAUGUGUCUUUGGGGGAUAUUCAAUAUCCAAGCUAUCACUAGAGUCUCUUGGGUUGCUAAGAGGAGGGAUCUGGAAUCCUCUGCCUGUCCCACUCCCUGCAGGGUCCCUAUAGGUUGCAUCUAUGAACACCGAAGGAACAGGGACACUUCUGCCCUGCACGGACAGGGACAUGUGGUCAUGUGCUCUUAGUCUCGCUGACACCAAAAAUGGACAUGGAGCCUGGCCCCAACCCCACCCACAGUUCAUCACCUUGGUUAGGGCAGAUACACAUCACAUAGUGUCUGAACUGACUCUGGGGGUCCCCAAAGGAAAGACAAGACCUUAAACCACCAAAGGACACACUGAGCCAAGGUUUUAUUGAGCAGAGGCACUGCCCCUCCUUCUCACAGCUUCCUGUGGUCCUGGAUCCCCAAAGGCCUCAUUGCUCCUCACAGUUGUCUCUCAACCCCACUCUCCCACCCGAAGCAAGUAUCUAGAAUAGUAAGUUACUUUUAUGUGACACAGGGACAAAAAAUGCAUCUUCUUUUAUUCAGUAUAUUCAUCAACAUCAACACCGUUCAUAGACAUUUGCAUUUUUCAUAAGAAAGCCCACAUUUGAAAUAUGGGCUCUUGGUUUUAGGUUAGGGGCUUUGGUGACUGUCAGAGAAUUAAAUCGAGGCUUGAAUCCACAGGCACAGAGCCCUGGAGACCCAUGGAAGGCUGCAAGGGAAUACUUUUGCAAGAUGGAAACCCCGCUCAGUGCAUAUAUUUUUCUGAGAUGCUGUUCCACUGGCACCUUCUCCAGCAUCUCAUGGAGCUUGUUACUGUGCAGUCAAUGAAGAAAGAUUCCUUUUCCAGGCUGGGUCAGACUUUCCAUGAAUUAAGCAUAGGGAGGCCUAAUUAUAUGUCAUUUGAUGAAUGCCUGGGAUGAACUAGUCUAAGGGUACAGAAUGAUAACCUCAUCAACAUCAAGAUCAGAAAGCAUGGGCCCUCUGGCCCUGUGGCCUCAGUGCUGUAGGAAUAUCAGAGGGAAGUUGUACAUUUCCCCACUGACAGAGUUUCAGGGAGCCUCUGCCUGGACAGAGUCACCCUUGCUGCACCUUGGAUCUGUCUAAAGUCACCACAAGUAGGAAGUGCCACAGAAGAAAAAAUAAAAGGCUCAAUGUUAUGGUUGCCUUAGUCAGUUGACUAAUCUGCAAACUGAGACCAAGGUAGAAAGUCGCUCAUUAUUCAUUUAUUAAGUGCCUGCCCUGUUUACUGUUCUAAUACUCGGGGAAUCAGUAGUGAAGAAGAUGGUAUCAUUUCUAUGUCCAUAUCUCAAUGUUCUCUCCCAGAGACAAGUGACUUUAGCCCUAUCCUUCUGAAAGCACUUCUGGAAUGACCUAUGGGUAAAGAAGUGACAACAUUAUUAUUCAGACAAAGAUAAUUUUUUAAAGAGAAAACAACGACUCGUAGUCAAACAUCCAGGAUGGUGGGCACCAACAAGGACUGUCUUGAGCAAAUCAGUAUUGGACAGUAACAUCAAAGGGUUUAUGCAUGUGUGUAUGUGUGUGUGCGCGCACACACACACACACGUGCGCACACACACACAUGUUCAUGUAUCACAGGGUUUUAGAAAGCCUUUUGCAACCUCAAAAACUCUGCAUUCCAUUUGUGCCUGAUCUUUAUCAUGGUGCAAGUGUUUUAAUCCCACAGUCAGAAAUAAGGCUUCCGGCACGUGAAAGCUGUCAGAUUCAGAAUGGAGUCACCCAUGUCAAACCCUGACAGCUGGAGCCAGGAAAGGUCACGGAGGGCUGUCAGCUCAAUUUUCCCAAUAAUGGGCUGUCAGGACAGCAAGCAGCACAAGAACUGUUAACCACUUAUGCACAAAUAACUUGCCUGACUCGCGCUGUCUCGUAAGCCCAAUCCAAUGAAGCAGCCUGCUCUACCUUGUAAGGCUAUUUUUGCUUAAUAACGGAUGGUGAAACUGCCAGCCAUGACCACAAUAGGGGCUUUAUGUAGUAACUGCUGCUCAACAUCAGAGCCUGCUGGCUCCCACAGGCACCAAGAGUGCCAAGGAAAUUUCUUUCAAAAUAACUUGUGGAGAUUCCUCUGUCCUAAUAAAACUGCAGUAGUCUUUUCUUCGUUCUUCAGACAAACUAGAGGCCACCCUGGCCUGUGCUUGUAUUUUUCCAGAUGCAAUCCUAUUCUCUGUUUAUUCCAAGUAAAAGUUUCUUUAUUUGAAGACUCAUCUCUAAAUUUUUGCUUGACUUUGACUCAUGUAUAUACUCCUCCUGGGAGAGGUCAAAACUGAUCUGACUUCAUGCUGAUGGAUCAGGCUUUGAUUGGCAGUGUUGG